CAGCCAACAGUUCAGGCUUUCACUCUGCAAUUGUGCUCUGGUGAUAAUCCGGCUUUUUAUGAGUGUGGAAAAGGUUCACAAGGCAUAAGCUCUGGCCACUUCAGAUUUUGAGACAAGAAAUUAGGGUCCAUAUUGACACAACAGACUGUAAAGAUAUUGCCAGAGAUAAAACCCACACCCAUCUUUCAGAAGCAAAUACAGCUCCUCUGAAGAGAUGACACCAGAUUAUACUCCAUUUUUUUUGUUGCCUCCUGCCCUGUAGCUGCCUCAGUAUGACUCAGUCGUUCAGCAGCACGAUGCCAAAAGGCUCUGUUGUCCCUGCUUUCUCCGGUGCAACACUUUUCCGCAUUGCUUUUAGAUGAAGCUCAGACGAGUCCUGACUCUGCAGCCAGUCUGACCUCCGGAAUAUUCUCCAAAAGUUGUUGAUUAGCAGACAGCUGUUGGCGGUGUUUCUGUUAAGUUUCCUGUUUCACCAUUUCCCCACCAAUAUGAAGUCUAUUCUCUAAAGAGUGUGUGUUUAUGCUACUGUGGGAUGGUUUAAUGGGAAUGAUUCCUUCACUUGUGAUCGGUCUCCUCUGACCAGCACAGUUAUCAGCCUUUCAGAGUCUAUAAAUCCAUGAGUGCAAGCGUGUGAACAUGAAGGGCUGAGGAGCAGAAGGGACUACCUCAGUCUCUGUUUCCUGCAAUGCAUAUUAUCAUGUCAUCCCUUCUAGAAAUCUGUCAAUCUGGUUGGAACAUUCAGUAGAAGAACAAACAGUGGUUACAAACUUUUAUAUUUCCAUUCUAAACUAAGAGCAGUCAAAUGCUGACUUCUAUGAAGGAAUGUAAGUAUAUGUUGUAUUAUUUCCCACAUGCUCUUCUGGGAGCCAAACAUUUUCAUCUGGGGACCUCUUAUGUUUCUUUGGAUGUGCCCUGACAACAGGAUGCUCCAUAAGCCUAGUGUUAAAAGCUUUAUCAGGAGCUUUAUCAGUAAGGAUCAAAAGAUCCUUUCAAGAGGGCUUUUUAAACCUGUAGUUACACUUUUCUUGAGGAGUUUUAGGACAAGAAUUAAAAAAAAAAAAAAUUAAAAAUUUAGUUAAACAGUGUUUUCAACAAAAACAGAUCUGCUCAUAAAAUGAUGUAUUGAGAAAUUAAUAAUUUGAUGUGCAAAAUCUUCAUUUCUAUGACUCUCAAGCAGGUAGCUGUGGAAAACCAGAUGACUCUUCUCACACCAUUGAAUAAUUAGUCCAAUUCUGCUGGAAAAUUGUAACCUUUUAAUGACUGACUGUUACCCUCUCACAAGCCCUUGCCUAGCAUCUGAAAGUAGAUUUCAGCCACUUAUAAGCACUUCACUGUUUUCCAGUGGACAGAGAUUUUCCACUUACGUUGAAGGACAAGGUUUUCCCUUGGUGCCAGAACAGCUAAUUUCUGCCAUCAAUACCUGCCAUGCUCUCACUGUUGGGCUGCUGCUCAUGACACCCAUGCCUUUCCCAGCCAUGUACUGUACUGAAUUUCACAGAACAGUGAGGGUGAGGAAGGAAGGCUAAAGAAUUCAAAUUGUUUAAGUGGUGUUAUGCUCUGUGUACAUCUAAGAAAUUGCUAUUAUUUUUUACUCAGCCUAGAACUACAGUUCAUGUUAGAAAAUCCCACUGAAGAAAGGAUGGCAUAUUACUGAGUGGGAUGUAAAAACUACUUAGCUUUUCAGAUCUCCAUCUCUCUGAUUAUGUGAUGCAAAAGAAAGAAUAGAACCACAUAAAGAUCUGUGUUAUACAAGGAAUGCUCCUCUUUCCUGCGAUGAGUUUUUGAUAUCGUGUAAGAAAAUGACAUCUCUUAUCCACAAAGGUAUUUUCCCCUUACUUGAUGUCAGAAGGAAGGAAACCCCCAACCUGUCCCCACUGAGGCAUCCCACAAUGCCUAUGAUAAUUCACACUAUGGUCUUGUGCCUUUUCCUAUAUGAGACAACUUUCCCUUUCAUUUAAUAUUCAAGGUGUACAUGAGUAUAUAUAGGCAGUGCAUAGUGCAUAAAUCAAACACAGCCUUCCUGGAAGCCAAAAUGCUGUUGCUCUAUAUCCUCUUAGUGAGUUGCUGCUUACCUGGCUCCAUGGGAGAUGCAGUAAGAGAAUUUCAAGAAAACCUCAAGAAUCUAACGAACGAGGAGACCUGGAUUCAAGUACCCAGGGGGAAAUUUCAGUGCAACCGUGUUCCCUGUCAACUUAAAAGAACCAUAAAAGGGCUGAAAGUUAAGAAUGAGCAAAUGAGAAAAUCCAUUUCUGUGUUGGAGAAAAACAUGAAUCACAUAAUAUCAGCUGUAAUUAAAGGACAUACAGAACCUGAGGAGAAACAUUCCUGUCUGACGAGAGAGAUGCUCCAGCAGAGAGCCCUGGAGCACUUUAAGAAGUACUUCCAAAAGCUGCAUGAGGACUGCACAUAGUCCUCCUGAGAGCUGCUGGCACUGCAGGUGCUCAGACACCUCUUACCCAACACUAGAGCUGGUUCUGGUGGAACAGAGCACCAUGAAGAGACAGCACAACAUUAACAUGAAUGUCUCAUAUGUGUGUUAUCAGAUAUUUAUGUCUUAUUGCUGGUAUUACCAUAUUUAAUUAAUUUAUAGAGAGUUUUUAUAUUUGUACAGAGUCCUAAUGUGCAAGAUGAUCAUGAAUAAAAGAACUUAAAAUCAUUAA